rnacentral:lncRNA from 1 species
CCUUCCGUAGGGGAUGCAGUGUAUUUAGCUUACAUUGGACACGUCAUUUCUCACACAAUUCCUGCAAGAAAACAGUCUGCCUGCAAGAUAAAGCAAAGAAGAAUAACAGAAUUUAAAGUAAUUAAACAGAACUACCAGAAAUUUUCCUGUCAGUCUCCAUAAGUUUUCAUUCCUAUUUAAGAAGUUGAGUGGCUCAGAGGUUUAGCUACAAGCUCUAAAUGACUACCCCAGAAGCAGGGAGCAUUUGAAAUAAAUGGAACAGCUGUCUGUAUCGCCUCAGCUAUAAAAGGGACUGUAUUUCCAUAAAGAAACAAAAAUAAUGAAGUAUUUUCUCG